AAACAAGACCAGACCAUCGAUGGAUCUCAUCUCCAGUUUCUUCCUCCCCAAAUCGCGCCGCCAACCCUUCCAUUCUCCCAAUCCCGCCGCCGCCAUGCUCUACAAGAACAUCCACCUCGCAAGUUCUCCCCUACCGUCACCCGGAGAUGAGCUGUUGGAGUCAGAUGCCUCUCCUAAUCGUGCCGCCAGCCCUGCUCCUCGCAAUCGCACCACCACGAUGCCGUACAAGCACAUCCGCCCCAUACCAAGCCAGUGAGAUCUGGAAGUCAGGGACGACGGUGAGCAAAUCCUCGGCGGUAAUCGUUGGCCUCCAAUGUUUCUUGAUUCAAAUGAAUCGUUGGCCUCCAUUGUUUCUCAGCACCCAAGAUAUGGAUUUAAGAAGAGAUCAAGGAGGAGAGACGACUUUCUAUUUUUCUAUGUCCUCACGCACACAGCAGUCAUACUGCCAAAGGGGUGGACAAAGUUGGUUUGACUUUGGUAUCUAUGUACCCGAUAGCUGGGCAUCAAGAAUCUGGAGAAUCCAUCACCUAACUUAGCCACUGUUGUCUAAAAAGCGCCAACAUAGAGCUGCUUUGAUGAUACUGCCCGUACUGAUCGAUAACCCAGCGCCUAAGGGAGCCGGAGCACGCCAAUCGUCAAUUGGCAGACACGGCCGCGGAUGGCAGGGAGGAAGGGGAUAGGGCGAGGCCAUUGCCGCUCGAUGAAUCGUUGGUGGAGAAUUAGCCGGGCCACACCCCACAACCAUGAUAAUUUCAAGCACUCUGAUACUUCAUCAGCUAGGUGGAGUAGAGACCUGAUCCUGCAAUCCGGGGGAUGAGCAAGAGUUGCAUAUGGAUAAAAUGGAUGGAAAGAACCAGAGUGACCACAAGGGACUAUACAGUGUUGGAACUUUAUGAGGAUGACAUAUCUUAUCAUGCGCAUGGUCUAGACUUUAUGGCAUGAGAUCAGGUAUCUAUACUAUUAACGUUGUCAUUUAUAAAAUACAUGUAAAUCAAGUAAGUUUGUAUUAUUAUAUGUGCGAACCAGUAGUAUUCUCCCUAUUCAUUUUUAUUUUUAUUUUCAUGGAACUUGACGUACAUCAAGCACGUUAUUCCCUAUUCUCCCACUACGUCAAGCCUUUCAGCGUUCCCUUGGUCGCAUCAUCGUCGUGCUUCGUCGUCCACGUGGGCCAGCACAAUUAAAACCUGCGCUUCUCUCUAAGUAUAGGUAGUUGAGAACCACCUGUUAUUUGGGUUUCUUCUCUCUGAGUGCAUCAAACCAGCUUAAGUUCUUGAACUUACAUUAGAAAUAGAUGACUAGAUUCAUUUUGUAUGGGACAUUCAAGAAUUAUCUUCUGCAGCCUUAUCGGACAUUCAAGUUCGUUUGCCUAGAUCAUAUUGCGUGAACUCCCAAAGGCAUACCUGAAGCUUCAGCAAGAAAAUUUUCAUACUCUAGCAACAACUUUCUUUCUUGCAACCUGAAACCCUCUUGGGGGGGACAAAAAUUUCAGAAGCCACGCAUCUCGGUGGAGGAAAAUUUCCAGAAGCCAAAUUGUGCAAUAUCAUAGGUAAAUGUGCAUAUCUCAUUAGCUUUUAUUCUUUUGAAGCAUCCUGAAACCCUCCAAAGUCGCACUAUUCUGUUCACAACAUCAUAUGGCUAAUUGCAGGCGAGUUCAA